AAUCUGCCUCUAUCCAUGGCAGCCCUUCUUAUUUUAAUGUUCUCACUCUUACCCACAAACUAAAUUUACAUUUCUUGCUGUUAUAAAUUUUAUAUUUUUGUGUGUGGAGAAACAUUCCAUCAAGAAGACUGAAGCCCAGUAAACUCCCAAAGACAAGACUUUCAGAAGGUCUGAAGACAAGUCACAUCAAACCACUGACCUAAGAAAAAUGGAAUUAAUGUUGCAACUGCAUUCUCCUAACUUCUCACUGGACUUGAGAUGGCAGGUAUGGUCAAGAGAGACACUGGAAGAUGGAAGUUACUUCAGUGUUCCAGUUGCUGGUGUAGCCAGGGCUUCACAGGGGGAAAAGGCACUGCAUC
rnacentral:lncRNA from 1 species